rnacentral:sRNA from 1 species
UGGCGGUUUGCGAAUCUUGCGAUGGCGGC